rnacentral:rRNA from 1 species
AGAACGAACGCUGGCGGCAGGCUUAACACAUGCAAGUCGAGCGCCUCGCAAGAGGAGCGGCAGACGGGUGAGUAACACGUGGGAACGUGCCCAAAGGUACGGAACAACUCCGGGAAACUGGAGCUAAAUACCGUAUGUGCCCGAAAGGGGAAAGAUUUAUCGCCUUUGGAUCGGCCCGCGUCUGAUUAGCUAGUUGGCGGGGUAAUGGCCCACCAAGGCGACGAUCAGUAGCUGGUCUGAGAGGAUGACCAGCCACAUUGGGACUGAGACACGGCCCAAACUCCUACGGGAGGCAGCAGUGGGGAAUAUUGGACAAUGGGCGCAAGCCUGAUCCAGCCAUGCCGCGUGAGUGAUGAAGGCCUUAGGGUUGUAAAGCUCUUUCGCCGAGGACGAUAAUGACGGUACUCGGAUAAGAAGCCCCGGCUAACUUCGCGCCAGCAGCCGC